CGCACAUCAAAGAUGCAGAGCCUUACAACAAAAAUCGCCAGUGAGAAGCUGAGCACCUACGCUGCGGUCAUAUCUAUCUUCACCUACACUAUUUUGCUCAACAGGGAUUUUACCUGCACCUGCGAACCACAAGCCUCGAUCUGCUUCCUGUACAUGCUUCUGCCACCCUUUAUCAUUUUUGUAUUAGUACUGGUGGCGGACAGUUCUUUCCAAAGCGUCUGUAGAUACUAUUGCUCAAAUUGUAAAUGCUUCUGCGAGCUUGGCUGUUUUUAUUUCCGUCACCUUUUUAGGGCAUUUUUAGUCGCCUUGCUGUGGGUUGCUUUUUUGUUCCUCGAUGGAGACUGGUAUGUUUGCUGUAAGAAUGACGGCUCUGAACAACAGGCAAAGUUAGCCUGCAAAGAUAAGACGAAUAUCACGCUCGACGAGAGAGUUCUUAAAGCUGAACUGAAAUACACAUCCCUGCUUAUCGGUGGCGGGAUUCUAUUUCUAAUUGUUUUAGUGGCUUUCGGCUUGGCAUUGUUUAAAAAAUGCAAAUGCAGGAAUGAAGAUUCAUGCUGUUUCAACAAAAGAUUUCUGUAUGAAAAACUGAUUAUAAUAGAGGAGGGCAAUGUGCUGAAAGAGGUUCUGAGGAAUUCAGCAAAAGAGAAGUUGACUGAAGAAAUUAAGAAAAACAUCCUUGCAAAAGAAUGGAAAAAGCCUUUCGAUGUUGCCAAAGAGCUGAUUGAAAACCCAGGAAUCCAAAAAAAACCUUAACCAGAGGAGUUCGAAAUGGGGGCACAAUAAUCAGAGAACGAGCCUCUUUUUCCAGUUCACUUGAUACUAAAGAAAUCUGUUCGUGCCAGUG